UACGUAGGGUGCAAGCGUUGUCCGGAAUUAUUGGGCGUAAAGAGCUCGUAGGCGGUCUGUCGCGUCUGCUGUGAAAACUCGGGGCUUAACCCCGGGCCUGCAGUGGGUACGGGCAGACUAGAGUGCGGUAGGGGAGACUGGAAUUCCUGGUGUAGCGGUGAAAUGCGCAGAUAUCAGGAGGAACACCGGUGGCGAGGGCGGGUCUCUGGGCCGUAACUGACGCUGAGGAGCGAAAGCGUGGGGAGCGAACAGG
rnacentral:rRNA from 1 species